rnacentral:rRNA from 1 species
UACAGAGGUCUCGAGCGUUAGGCGGAAUUACUGGGCGUAAAGCGUGCGCAGGCGGUUUUUGUAAGUCUGUCGUGAAAGCCCCCGGGCUCAACCUGGGAAUGGCGAUGGAGACUGCAAGGCUAGAGUGUGUCAGAGGGGGGGGUAGAAUUCCACGUGUAGCAGUGAAAUGCGUAGAUAUCAGGAGGAACACCUGUGGCGAAAGCGGCUCACUGGACCACAACUGACGCUGAUGCACGAAAGCUAGGGGAGCAAACAGG